rnacentral:lncRNA from 10 species
UCGGAACCCCUUCCCUCUGCACGAGGGAAGGCGGAGGUUGCAGUGAGCCGAGAUCGUGCCAUUGCACUCUAGCCUGGGCGAUAGAGCAAGACUCCGUCUCAAAAAAGAAAAAAGAAAAAUAUGCUAAAAUGACGUUUUAAAAGUUGCUUGUCCACUCAUAUAUUUUUGUCAAGCUUUGUGUUACGAAACAGAGUCAAAGCCUAGUAUCAUUUUUAGCAGGGGUUGGGGGAGGGGGUGGGAAGUGAUAAGUGAGACUGGAGGGAAGGCCAAAGGAUUUGAAGGACAGAAAAGCACAUAUCCUUCCUAGACCUCCCCUGGCUCCAGGAUGGAAAAUGACUUGGCAGGGGCCCUUUUUGUGCAGGCCAGAAGGGAAUUUAUUUCCCAGCUGUUCUGUUGUAUUUUCCUUGUUAGUCUUUGCUCCCACGGUCUAAGAGCAAAUACCGGAUCUUAGCGCCUACAGUACUGGUCAAGAGCUGCCACUUCAGUCAGUGUGACUCACAGCUGUCCGUGAACCACCUACUGUAACAGCUGGCUAGACACCACAGCCCUGCGGCCCUGCAGCCCAGCCACGUCUUUUUAGCUUCACCUCGACGGCCUUGCUCUUGACCUGAAAUCACCAUCACCUUAAUGGGCUAGAAAAGGUGGGGUUUAGAGGUUUCCCCACUGCGAGCCCUUCGAGAACAAUGUCAUGUUGAUCGAUGGCAGUGACUCACACCAGAUCUUUCCAUGCCUCCUCUGCAAGGACUCAAGAGAGUCGAGAGCAAAACCGUGCCAUAGUUCCAUAAGGAGGGCAAAGAGCUUUAUCCACGCUGAGGAACAGGCGGAUCAUGCGGCUACAGCACUGGUCUUUACCUUUUAACUGCUUGAUUCGAAACAUUCCAGCCAGGAACAGUGGCUCACACCUGUAAUCCCAGCACUUUGUGGGGCCAAGGCAGGUGGAUUGCUCGAGCUCAGGAGUUCGAAACCAGCCUGGGCAACCUGGCAAAACCUCAUCUCUACAAAAAAAUACAAAAAUUAGCCAGGCCUGGUGUGUGUGCCUGUGGUUCCAGCCACUCGGCAGGCUGCGGCCAGAGGAUCACUUGAGCCCAGGAAGUGGAGGCUGCAGUGAGCUGAGAUCGUGCCGCCACACUCCAGCCUGGGUGACAGAGCCAGACAUUGUCUCUAAAAAAAAAAAAAAAAGAAAAGAAAAGAAAGAAAAAAGAGAAAUAGUCCAAGACUAGGGAGAAAACCUUCUUUGGGGUCAGUGUGAACCAUUCUUUCAUUUGUUCAGCAAAUGCUUACUGAGGAGCUACUGUGUCCCUGAAAUUGCCUCCACCUCCAAGAAGACAGUGGUGAGCAAGUCAGACAAUACCUCUAAUCUCAUGGUAUUUAUAAGUAAAUGGGCCGUUAAAAUUACCAGAUCAGAAGUGCUGUGUUCAGCAAAUAGAGGCUCAUGGGAAACUCCUAAGAAGGGCUUCUGAGCUGGACUUGGGGGUCAGGAAAGGCAGAAUGAGGGGGCUGACUCAUCCAGACUGGGGCGGGGUUGCCGGGGGUGCCUCCCACUUACUAUCUGUCUCCUUCUAGACUGACUUCUCUGUCAUCAUGAAUACACCCCUUUAAGACAUACAUUUAAGAGAAAAUAAGAGGAUGCCUUAUUUAUUUAAAGGUUUGUUACAGUUUUACUAACAACCACAUACCUAAAGGAAAGUCGCAAGUAGAGCUCAAAAACUUUUUUCUCUGGGGCAGUGAAGAGUCAGUUGCCAGCCAGAAGGCCCACUGAGCCUGAGCACUUCAGGGUGUGCUUCCUACAGAUAAGGACAUCCUCCUGCAUAACAGGAAAGGGGUCCUGAUCCAGACCCCAAGAGAGGGUUCUUGGAUCUCGCACAAGAAAGAAUUCCGGGUGAGUCUGUAAAGCGAAAGCCAGUUUAUUAAGUAAAGGAGUAAAAGAAUGGCUAUUCCAUAGACAGAGCAGCCCUGAGGGCUGCUGAUUGCCCAGUUUUAUGGCUGUUUCUUGAUGAUAUGCUAAACAAGGGGUGGAUUACUCAUGCCUCCCCCUUUUAGACCGUAGAGGGCAAGUCCUGAUGUUGCCAUGGCGUUUGUAAACUGUCAUGGAGCUGGUGGGAGUGAAGCAGUGAGGAUGACCAGAGGUCACUCUCGGCACCAUCUUGGUUUUUGGUGGGUUUUAGCCAGCUUCUUUACUGCAACCUGUUUUUUCAGCAAUAUCUUUAUGACCUGUAUCUUGUGCCGACCUCCUAUCUCAUCCUGUAAAUUAGAAUGCCAUUACCAUCUGGGAAUGCAGCCCAGUAGGUCUCAGCCUUAUUUUACUCAGCUCCUAUUUAAGAUGGAGUCGCUCUGGUUCGAACGGCUCUGAUAUAACUGCUGCUCAGCCAUUGACGUCGGGAAGGUAGCACAGGCUCAUUGCCACCACUGAACCCUCAGACCCCACCCAAGUGUUGCCAGUUGUUCCAAUAAUGUCCUUUAUGGUGAAAGGACCAGAUCCAUGGUCACAUAUUGCAUUGAAUUGUCACGUCUUCUUCUUUAGUCUUCCCUCGACCUACAUGACCUUGCCAUUUUUGGAGAUAAUAGUUUAACAGUCCAGUGGGUUCACCUUGCCCGCUGCCUAGACAGAGCUGGUUGAUCAUGACAGGGGAGUUGCAAUGGACAAUGGAGAAAGCGUAAUUCACACAGAGUCGACUGUGUGGGAGACCAGAGUUUUGUUAAUACUCAAAUCAGUCUCCCUGAGCAUUUGGCGAUUAAAGUUUUUAAAGAUAAUUUGGUGGGUAGGGGCUUGGGAAGUGGAGAGUGCAAUGGAGAUGGAAUCACAGGGGGUCGAAGUGAGUUUUUCUUGCUGUUUUCUGUUCUUGGGUGGGAUGGCAGAACUGGUUGAGCCAGAUUACUGGUCUGGGUGGUGGUAGCUGGUCCACUGAGUGCAGGGUUUGCAAAAUAUCUCAAGCACUGAUCUUAGGUCUUACAAUAGUGAUGUUAUUGCCAGGAGCAAUUUGGGGAGGUUCAGACUCUUGGAGUCAGAGGCUGCAUGACCCCUAAACUGUAAUUUCUUGUUUUGUUUGUUUGUUUUGUUAUUGUUGUUUGGUUUUUUUUGAGACGGAGUUUCACUCUUGUUGCCCAGGCUGGAGUGCAAUGGCAUGAUCUCAGCUCACCGCAACCUCCACCUCCCAGGUUCAAGCAAUUCUCCUGCCUCAGCCUCCCAAGUAACUGAGAUUACAGGCAUGUGCCACCACGCCCGGCUAAUUUUGUAUUUUUAGUAGAGAUGGGGUUUCUCCAUGUUGGUCAGGCUGGUCUUGAACUCCUGACCUCAGGUGAUCUGCCUGCCUUGGCCUCCCAACGUGCUGGGAUUACAGGCAUGAGCCACUGCGCCUGGCCAGUAAUUUCUAAUCUUGUAGCUAAUUUGUUAGUCCUGCAAAGGCUGAGUGGUCCCAGGCAAGAAGGGGGUCUUUUUGGGAAAGGGGUUUUAUCAAUUUUGUUUCAGAGUCCAACCACGAAUUGAAUUCCUUCCCAAAGUUAGUUUGGCCUAUGCCCAGGGAUGAACAAGGACAGCUUAAAGGUUAGAAGCAAGAUGGAGUUGGUUAGAUCUGAUUUCUUCCAGUGUCAUAAUUUCCUGAGUUAUAAUUUUGCAAAGGUGGUUUCAAUAGGACACUUGCUUUGUAGCCUGCACUUUGGUUUUCAUUUCUCUGAUGUGCCCUCACGGUUAGGGCCAAGUGAUGCAUCUUUAGUGGGAAUAGCUCAGGAGUAGUGCGGUCUUCUUAUUGUAUUAUAACACAUGCGGUGGCAUUUGUUGGCUCAGCUUCUACACUGUAAAGUUGCUCUUUUUGCCUCUUAAUGAAUAUGUAUCUUGAGGGAGAUACUAAAAAAAAUCCCUUUCCUCAUCAAAUUCUGCAUGUGUUCAGUAUGGAUUCAUGGCUUUCUAUUUUAUCCACUAGGUUAUAAUCUGUUGCCAUCUUUAUUUUAAUACUCAAAUUCUCCCAUAUUCAGUGACCACCUCAAGCUGACUUCUGUAUCCUUUUGACACAUCUCAGUCAUUCUUUGAGCACUUCCUUUUUUGCUGAGAUGGGUACAUGUUCUAGGCCCACCCUGUGCUUCCCCUGUCUAGUCUGGAAUCAGCCGUUUCUCAAAGGAGCUUUUGGUGGAGAAUGGUGUUUAGAAACCAAGAUCUGGAUAGCAGGUGUGCUCGCUGUGAUUGGGCUAUUGCUGCUCCCAAUCCUCUAGAUAGCCAGAACAACAACAUAAAAACAUGUAUGUUUGGCUGGGCACGGUGGCCGAUGCCUGUAAUCCCAGCACUUUGGGAGGUUGAGGUGGGUGGAUCACCUCAGGUCAGUUUGAGACCAGGCUGACCAACAUGGUGAAACCUUGUCUCUACUAAAAAUACAAAAAAAUCAGCAGGGUGUGGUGGUGCAUGCCUGUAAUCCCAGCUACUUGGGAGGCUGAGGCAAGAGAAUCGCUUGAACCCGGGAGGUGGAGGUUGCAGUGAGCCAAGAUCAUGCCACUGCACUCCAGCCUGGGCGACAGAGUGAGACUCUGUCCCCGAAAAAAAAAAGAAAAGUAUGUUUAUUUCUGUAUGUUUUUACUCACACCAAAAUACCUUCAAUUCCAGCCCAGUACCACAGGACUUAUUCUAGUUUUCUCUCUUUUCAUAUUUGUAUCUCCUUUCUCUGACAGUGAGACCAUGGCUCCCAUUAUUCUAAGUAUACUGACUUAUUUGACUAAUCCCCUGUAGAUGAUCAGUCUCUCCUGCCUUCUCCCCCACCACAUGUGGACACCCUCCUCACCCUGCCUGGCCCUGACACCCCGUGCUGGGUCUUCAACAUGCACAGAGGCCCUCCUGACCCCACUCGGGCUCUGAUCUUCCACACCAGACCACCCCUUCACACGGGCCCCCUCCUCCCACAUUUGGGCUCCGAGUCCCCAGGCUGAGCUGCCCUUUACCUUGCUUGAACUCUGACACCCCAUGCCAGGUCUCGGCCUUGCGAGGACACCUUUCUCACCUUAUGCUGGAGCUCCCUGGCACAGACUGCCUUGCACUGUGCUGGACUUUGCCUGCUGCCUGGAUGCACUCCUCACCAUGCCUGGGCCCUGAAAUCCCACUGCAGGCCAUUCUCACACAUGGAUGCUUUCCCUACCCUGCUUGGGCCCUCACUCCCAUGCUGACUCCCUCUCCCCCAUUGUAUUAAUCCAUUUUCAUGCUGCUGAUAAAGAUAUACCUGAGGCCAGGCGCAGUGGCUCAUGCCUGUAAUCCCAGCACUUGGGAGGCAAAGGCGGGUGGAUCAACUGAGGUCAGGAGUUCGAGACCAGCCUGGCCAACAUGGUGAAACCCUGUCUCUACUAAAAAUACAAAAAUUAGCUGGGCAUGGUGGCAGGCGCCUGUAAUCCCAGCUACUUGGGAGGCUGAGGCAGGAGAAUUGCUUGAAACUGGGUGGCGGAGGUUGCAGUGAGCCUAGAUUGCGCCAUUGCACUCUAGUCUUGGGGACAAGAGUGAGACUUCGUCUCCAAAUAAAUAAAUAAAUAAAAAUACAUACCUGAGACUGGGCAAUUUACAAAAGAAAGAGGUUUAAUGGACUUACAGUUCCAUGUGGCUGGGGAGGCCUCACAAUCAUGGUGGAAGGUGAAAGGCAUGUCUCACAUGGUGGCAGACAAGAGAAGAGAGCUUGUGCAGCGAAACUCCCCUUUAUAAACCAGAUCUUAUGAGACUUAUUCACUAUCAUGAGAACAGCACGGGAAAGACCUGCCCUCAUGAUUCAGUUACCUCCCACCAGGUCCCUCCCACAACACGUGGGAAUUCAAGAUGAGAUUUGGUUGGGGACACAGCCAACCCAUAUCACCCAUGCCUGGAUGCCCUUCUCAUGCUUGGGUUCUGUCAUCUGCACCAGGCCUUCUGCUGCCCGUCUGUCUUACCCACCAGGACUCUGACUCUCCACGCUGGGCCACCUCUCUUCUCCAACACUGCUAUGGAUUGAAUGUUUAUGUUCUCCCCAAAUUUGCAUGUUGCAAUCCCAAUCUCCAAUGCCAUAGUAUUAGGAGGUGGGGGCCUUUGGGAGGUGAUUUGGUCAUGAAGGUGGAGUCCUCACAGCUGGGAUGAGUGUCCUUCUAUAAGAGGCUCCAGUGAGCUCCCUCGCCCCUUCCACCAUGUGGGGACACAGCGAGAAGAUGCUGUCUAUGAACCAGGAAACCGGCCCUUGCCAGACACUGAAUCUGCACUUUGAUCUUGGACUUGCAGCCUCCAGAACUGUGAGAAAUAAAUGUCUAUCGUUUAUAAGGCACUCGGUCCAUGGUAUUUUUGUUAAAGCAAUCUAAACGGAC